GUAGGGAAUAUUGGGCAAUGGAGGCAACUCUGACCCAGCCAUGCCGCGUGCAGGAUGACGGCCCUCUGGGUUGUAAACUGCUUUUAUACGGGAAGAAAAAAUACUACGUGUAGUAUACUGACGGUACCGUAAGAAUAAGGAUCGGCUAACUCCGUGCCAGCAGCCGCGGUAAUACGGAGGAUCCAAGCGUUGUCCGGAUUUAUUGGGUUUAAAGGGUGCGUAGGCGGAUCUUUAAGUCAGUGGUGAAAGCCUGCAGCUUAACUGUAGAAUUGCCAUUGAAACUGAAGAUCUUGAAUGUGGUUAAAGUAGGCGGAAUGUAUCAUGUAGCGGUGAAAUGCUUAGAUAUGAUACAGAACACCGAUAGCGAAGGCGGCUUGCUGAACCAUUAUUGACGCUGAGGCACGAAAGCGUGGGGAGCGAACAGGAUUAGAAACCCGAGUAGUCC
rnacentral:rRNA from 1 species